AAUAAGUGCAGUUUUAGCACUCUUCAUGUCUAACAUUUGACCGUUCGUCUUAUUUGAAAAAGAUUAUGAUUAGUAUUUUUAUUAUUACUAGAUGAUAAAAUAUAAACAGAACUUUACGUGUGCUAAUUUUUUUUUAAAUAUUUUUCAUAAAUUUUUCAAAUAAGACGGAUGGUCGAAACACUAAACACGAAUAUUUAUGGCUACUAGUUAGC
rfam:Oryza glumipatula chromosome 4, whole genome shotgun sequence.